CUCUUUUAGGUCUGACAGAACAUAUGAUUGGAAAAAUCUUCCGAACUAUGAAGGACCAAGUCAAAUUUUUAAAGGCUCUCGAGAACCUUAAAAGAACAAAAGCAAAUGAGCAUAUUGUUUCAGAGAAGGUGCUACCAGUAGAAUGCAGAGAAGUGCCACAAACCUCAACAAGUGUUCAUGUUUGGACCGCAUGUUAUACAUUGCCUAUAUUUCCUCCAGUUGUACAGAUGGCCCUUGAUAGAAAGGACAUUGGUUUCAAAUCAAAAGACAAAUCUGCCCUUCGUGCAGCUCUAAUACAGACUCUGUUUGAUGACCUCAGCAAAUAUACGCUGUAUCCAGACCACAUAAUGUACAGUACUGUGCUAAGUACUUUGUGCUGUAAGUACAGAUUUCUAAGGGAUGACAGCCAAACUGGAUAUGCUACUCUACUUGAAAUACUGAGAAAUAAAUUCAAAAAAGAGAGAAAGACACUUAUUUCAGUGGAGACUGUAGAAGACAUGAAAAAAAGUUUGGUGCUGUGGGUCGAGGAAGGAAGCGUGCACCAGAGCAACAGCAACCGCUCAUGAAAAAGAGAAGAGAAUCUGUAAGCCUAACUCUUGGAUCUGCAUUGACAGAAAUAGAUUGAAAUAGAAUUACAUACUUUAUAUAUGUACAUACAUGCGAUUGUGUAGUUUAUUAGCUAAUUGGCUUUCAUGGAGAGUACUUGAUCUUUAGCAUUUUUCCAGAGUAAAG